AGUGAACGCUGGCGGUAGGCCUAACACAUGCAAGUCGAACGGCAGCACAGUAAGAGCUUGCUCUUACGGGUGGCGAGUGGCGGACGGGUGAGGAAUACAUCGGAAUCUACUUUUUCGUGGGGGAUAACGUAGGGAAACUUACGCUAAUACCGCAUACGACCUACGGGUGAAAGCAGGGGAUCUUCGGACCUUGCGCGAUUGAAUGAGCCGAUUUCGGAUUAGCUAGUUGGCGGGGUAAAGGCCCACCAAGGCGACGAUCCGUAGCUGGUCUGAGAGGAUGAUCAGCCACACUGGAACUGAGACACGGUCCAGACUCCUACGGGAGGCAGCAGUGGGGAAUAUUGGACAAUGGGCGCAAGCCUGAUCCAGCCAUACCGCGUGAGUGAAGAAGGCCUUCGGGUUGUAAAGCCCUUUUGUUGGGAAAGAACAGCAGCAGAUUAAUACCCCGCUGUUCUGACGGUACCCAAAGAAUAAGCACCGGCUAACUUCGUG
rnacentral:rRNA from 1 species